CCUACGGGAGGCAGCAGUGAGGAAUAUUGGUCAAUGGACGAGAGACUGAACCAGCCAAGUCGCGUGAAGGAGGACUGCACUGUGGGUUGUAAACUUCUUUUGUCUGGGAAUAAAAUGUUCCACGUGUGGGAUUUUGUAUGUACCAUAUGAAUAAGGAUCGGCUAACUCCGUGCCAGCAGCCGCGGUAAUACGGAGGAUCCGAGCGUUAUCCGGAUUUAUUGGGUUUAAAGGGAGCGUAGGUGGAGUGUUAAGUCAGUUGUGAAAGUUUGUGGCUCAACCGUAAAACUGCCGUUGAAACUGGCAGUCUCGAGUAGAGUAGAGGUGGGCGGAAUGCGCGGUGUAGCGGUGAAAUGCGUAGAUAUCACGAAGAACUCCGAUUGCGAAGGCAGUUCACUGG
rnacentral:rRNA from 1 species